UUGGCGUCUGCAGCUAGAGGACUGAUAGGCAGGCCAGAUGGCAAUGAUGGUGGCUGUGCAGGAAGUGAGGGCGUUCGAGACACACUUAGGUUUGCAUGACCAAGGCUGGUUUCUACCCAGACUCUUUGAGGCUAAAGGAAAAAGGAGAGUGUUGGUCUUCACAAAGGGCUGAUGAAACAUGCAGGGGAUUUGACAUCUGUGAGGAAGACACAGUGAAACCUUCACAGCAUUUCAGCUACUGAGAAUUGGAGGAAGAAUAAGAUGUUUGGUGGACAACUGAGGUCUGACAUAAUCUGCCUGCCAAAAUGGUGCAUCUUGGGGCAGCCUGCCUUUGACCCCUAUAACUGCAGGAACAACUACAUAUUUAUAAUCAGAAAUUCUUGUUUUCAGAUGUGCCUGAGCAGCUCUGAGGAAUGGCUUGUCGGUUCAGGUCUCACCACGGAGAAACGUUUCUCAUUAGCAGGUCUAUGGAGAUCUUUCCUGGGCUGUUUAUCCUCCUGCGACUCAAAAAAGCAUUCUCCCUCAUAAUCUCUCUAUUUUUUAAUUGAAAUAUAGUUGAUAUGC